GAUGAACGCUGGCGGCGUGCCUAAUACAUGCAAGUCGAGCGAACAGACGAGGAGCUUGCUCCUUUGACGUUAGCGGCGGACGGGUGAGUAACACGUGGGUAACCUACCUCUAAUACUUGGAUAAUUUCGGGAAACCGGAGCUAAUACCGGCUAAUAUUUCGAACCGCAUGGUUCGAUAGUGAAAGAUGGCUUUGCUAUCACUUUUAGAUGGACCUGCGCCGUAUUAGCUAGUUGGUAAGGUAACGGCUUACCAAGGCAACGAUACGUAGCCGACCUGAGAGGGUGAUCGGCCACACUGGAACUGAGACACGGUCCAGACUCCUACGGGAGGCAGCAGUAGGGAAUCUUCCGCAAUGGGCGAAAGCCUGACGGAGCAACGCCGCGUGAGUGAUGAAGGUCUUCGGAUCGUAAAACUCUGUUAUUAGGGAAGAACAAACGUGUAAGUAACUGUGCACGUCUUGACGGUACCUAAUCAGAAAGCCACGGCUAACUACGUG
rnacentral:rRNA from 1 species